rnacentral:rRNA from 1 species
GAUGAACGCUAGCGGCAGGCUUAAUACAUGCAAGUCGAGGGGCAGCAUGAAUGUAGCAAUACAUUUGAUGGCGACCGGCAAACGGGUGCGGAACACGUACACAACCUUCCUAUAAGUGGGGAAUAGCCCAGAGAAAUUUGGAUUAAUACCCCGUAACAUAAUGAUGUGGCAUCACAUUAUUAUUAUAGCUACGGCGCUUAUUGAUGGGUGUGCGGCUGAUUAGAUAGUUGGCGGGGUAACGGCCCACCAAGUCUACGAUCAGUAGCUGAUGUGAGAGCAUGAUCAGCCACACGGGCACUGAGACACGGGCCCGACUCCUACGGGAGGCAGCAGUAAGGAAUAUUGGUCAAUGGACGCAAGUCUGAACCAGCCAUGCCGCGUGAAGGAUUAAGGUCCUCUGGAUUGUAAACUUCUUUUAUCUGGGACGAAAAAAGGCUAUUCUUAGUCACUUGACGGUACCAGAUGAAUAAGCACCGGCUAACUCCGUGCCAGCAGCCGCCGCAG